UACCAGCACCCCGAGUGGUCGGGACGAUUAUUGGGCCUAAAGCAUCCGUAGCCGGUUCUGCAAGUCCCCCGUUAAAUCCAGCUGCUCAACAGAUGGGCCGCGGAGGAUACUACAGAGCUAGGAGGCAGGAGAGGCAAGCGGUACUCAGUGGGUAGGGGUAAAAUCCGUUGAUCCAUUGAAGACCACCAGUGGCGAAGGCGGCUUGCCAGAAUGCGCUCGACGGUGAGGGAUGGAAGCUGGGGGAGCAAACCGG
rnacentral:rRNA from 1 species